rnacentral:rRNA from 1 species
UGAUAGUCCCGUACACCAAAAUGCACAGGCUGUGAACUCGAAGAGUAGGGCGGGACACGUGGUAUCCUGUCUGAAUAUGGGGGGACCAUCCUCCAAGGCUAAAUACUCCUGACUGACCGAUAGUGAACCAGUACCGUGAGGGAAAGGCGAAAAGAACCCCGGCGAGGGGAGUGAAAAAGAACCUGAAACCGUGUACGUACAAGCAGUGGGAGCACCUUCGGGUGUGACUGCGUACCUUUUGUAUAAUGGGUCAGCGACUUAUAUUCUGUAGCAAGGUUAACCGUAUAGGGGAGCCGCAGGGAAACCGAGUCUUAACUGGGCGUUAAGUUGCAGGGUAUAGACCCGAAACCCGGUGAUCUAGCCAUGGGCAGGUUGAAGGUUGGGUAACACUAACUGGAGGACCGAACCGACUAAUGUUGAAAAAUUAGCGGAUGACUUGUGGCUGGGGGUGAAAGGCCAAUCAAACCGGGAGAUAGCUGGUUCUCCCCGAAAGCUAUUUAGGUAGCGCCUCGUGAAUUCAUCUUCGGGGGUAGAGCACUGUUUCGGCUAGGGGGUCAUCCCGACUUACCAACCCGAUGCAAACUACGAAUACCGAAGAAUGUUAUCACGGGAGACACACGGCGGGUGCUAACGUCCGUCGUGAAGAGGGAAACAACCCAGACCGCCAGCUAAGGUCCCAAAGUCAUGGUUAAGUGGGAAACGAUGUGGGAAGGCACAGACAGCCAGGAUGUUGGCUUAGAAGCAGCCAUCAUUUAAAGAAAGCGUAAUAGCUCACUGGUCGAGUCGGCCUGCGCGGAAGAUGUAACGGGGCUAAACCAUGCACCGAAGCUGCGGCAGCGACACUAUGUGUUGUUGGGUAGGGGAGCG